rnacentral:rRNA from 1 species
AAAAGUAGCGAAGUAUGUGAGCCAUGUGCCGAGAAAAGCCGCUAUUGUUUUAUAUGUGCCCGUACCGUAAACCGACACAGGUGGAUGAGGAGAGAAUCCUAAGGCCGACGGAAGAAGCAUUGUUAAGGAACUCGGCAAAAUGACCCCGUAACUUCGGGAGAAGGGGUGCCCACUUCAGGGUGGGCCGCAGAGAAUAGGCUCAAGCAACUGUUUAGCAAAAACACAGGUCUAUGCGAAACCGUAAGGUGAAGUAUAUGGGCUGACGCCUGCCCGGUGCUGGAAGGUUAAGAGGAGAGGUUAGUCGCAAGAUGAAGCUUUGAAUUUAAGCCCCAGUAAACGGCGGCCGUAACAAUAACGGUCCUAAGGUAGCGAAAUUCCUUGUCGGGUAAGUUCCGACCCGCACGAAAGGCGUAAUGAUUUGAGCACUGUCUCGACAAUGCAUCCGGUGAAAUUGAAGUACCAGUGAAGAUGCUGGUUACCCGCGCCAGGACGGAAAGACCCCAUGGAGCUUUACUCCAGUUUGGUACUGGGAUUCGGUACUGCAUGUACAGGAUAGGUGGGAGACUGAGAAAUUGGAACGCCAGUUUCAAUGGAGUCACUGUUGGGAUACCACCCCUGCAGUAUUGGGUUUCUAACCAGCCGCUGUGAUCCAGCGGUGGGACAAUGCCAGGCGGGGAGUUUGACUGGGGCGGUCGCCUCCGAAAGGGUAUCGGAGGCGCUCAAAGGUUCCCUCAGAAUGGUCGGAAACCAUUUUAAGAGUGCAAAGGCAGAAGGGAGCUUGACUGCGACACCGACGGGUGGAGCAGGUACGAAAGUAGGACUUAGUGAUCCGGUGGCAUAAAGUGGGAUUGCCAUCGCUCAACGGAUAAAAGCUACCCUGGGAUAACAGGCUUAUCACUCCCAAGAGUUCACAUCGACGGAGUGGUUUGGCACCUCGAUGUCGGCUCAUCGCAUCCUGGGGCUGUAGCAGGUCCCAAGGGUUGGGCUGUUCGCCCAUUAAAGCGGUACGCGAGCUGGGUUCAGAACGUCGUGAGACAGUUCGGUCCCUAUCCGGCGCGGGCGGAGGAUAUUUGAGAGGAGCUGUCCUUAGUACGAGAGGACCGGGAUGGACGGACCACUGGUGUAUCUGCUGUCGACCAACGGCAUGGCAGAGUAGCCAAGUCCGGAAGGGAUAAACGCUGAAGGCAUCUAAGCGUGAAGCCCCCCUCAAGAUCAGAUAUCCCUCACAUAAGUGAGUAAGAUCCCUUGAAGAGUACAAGGUAGAUAGGGCAGAGGUGGAAGCACGGUAACGUGUGGAGCUGACUGUUACUAAUCGAUCGAGGGCUUGACC